GUAUAAUUUUCCAUCACAUGCUCCAGAUGUUGAAGUUUCUGGGAAGAGAAAUCCGGUUCCACGUGUGGAGCAUCUCUCUGCAGAGCGUUUGUGUUGUACUGGUCUGUCGUACUCUCACGACAGUUCCCGUCAUGUUCAGGAAGAAUGAAAGUGUAGGCACAUUGCCCAUGUUGAAUCCGGUUAUAUCUUCUCCCACCGUUUUCUGGACUCCGGCGCUGGUUGCUGCACCCUAUGUGAGUCAGAAUGGCAGCGAAGAAAGCAAAGGAAAGGAAAACUGUCAUUGUACGGCCAGCGCUCUCCUUCCGUGUCUCUCGCAAAACUUGCUCCUCUCUUCUGACCUUUAAACUAGUUCUUUAUUUCAGCUGCGACUGUUGAAAAUCUGUCCCUCUGUGUGUACCUCUGUGUGCUUGUCCACGUGAGCUUCUCCUGUCUGAACAAAUGAGAAGAAGGAAUGCACAAUUCCAGAGGGAAACAUAGACAACCAAGAAAGGAAAGCCUGAAAUACAAGUUCAGAAAAGGGAUGGAGGUGAAACUGUCUCAUGGCUCCUGCCCGAUUGGACCAACUGUUUGAUACUGAAGAUGGACCUGUGGCUUCCCAUUCUCAUCCCUGAAGUGUCACCAGCACAUGGAGUUUUCUCUACGGAUGUCCCUCUCAGUUUUAGUCAAACCUUUGGAAAGAAUGACUCUGGGCAGAUAAGAAGACUGUGGCUCAAGGAUUUGCCCCAGGUUACAACGACAUUCAGCUGGAAGCUGCAUGACUCACGUUUAUAAUAUUUUCAGCGUGCUUUUUGUAAUUUGUAUCCUGAAAGACAGGAUCAAAAUUAGGAUUUCAAUAUCCAGCUGCCAAAAGCAAAUUUGAUUUUUUAUUGACUCUUCACCACUAAAAUCUGGUUGGUAGAAAAAUUUCUCCCCUCCCUUUCUUCCCAUUCUUUCCUGCUUUUCUUAAGUACCUUCCAACCCCAAGAUAGAGUUGUAUGACAUCUGGAAAGGAGUUGAAGGGGUUAAGGAUAAAUUCUUAAAUAGCAAACCAAACAGACCAUGGCUAUUAAUAAUCAUAGCCAUGAAAGUCAGGCUACUUGCUCAGGGUCCAAGAGGAAUCAGACCAAUCAAAGGAAAUUAGGUAGAAGAUACAGUUGGUGUUAGGUGAAAGCAAAAAGACCCCAUGAUCUGCUAUUCUGUUCACAUCCCUUUGUAUUUGUGUACACGUGUGAGGUGUGGGGAAUGGUCUAUGGUGAGGAUGGUGGCCCUGUAUUUUCUGCUAGCCUUAUAGGAAAAUUACACAAUUUAAAUCCCCAGUCUUGGCAUAAAACAUAAAACCUGUGCAUGCUGACCUCAUGGAUUUUGGCUCUAUUUUCAGCCAUCAGUGUUAUACUUGGAAUUUCUCACCUGAAUGCUUUGAUACCUAGUAAAGGACAUAACAAAAUUCGUGGGCUCUGCUUGUAGUCACAGAGACCUGGGUUCAAACCCUGCCCUGACCCUUAGCUGCUAUGAACUAUGAAGAAGAUUCUUAAUGGCUCUCAAAACUUGAGUUUCUUCCUUUGUGACAGGGAAGUAACUGUGUUUUCCUCUUAGGAAUUAUGGUAAGGUUGAAAUAAGAUAGCACCAUCAGUAUGACUGGUAUUCACAGAGAGCCAAUUAGUGCAGUUUUCAUUUAUUUUUGUAAAUUAAGACUGCAUUAAUAAAUAGGAGGGGAAAUGCAAACAG